UACGGGGGGAGCAAGCGUUGUUCGGAUUUACUGGGCGUAAAGGGCGCGUAGGCGGCCUGCUAAGUCGAACGUGAAAUCCCCGGGCUCAACCCGGGAACUGCGUCCGAUACUGGCAGGCUUGAAUCCGGGAGAGGGAUGUGGAAUUCCAGGUGUAGCGGUGAAAUGCGUAGAUAUCUGGAGGAACACCGGUGGCGAAGGCGGCAUCCUGGACCGGUAUUGACGCUGAUGCGCGAAAGCCAGGGGAGCAAACGGG
rnacentral:rRNA from 1 species